GUGCCAGCAGCCGCGGUAAUACGUAGGUGGCAAGCGUUGUCCGGAAUUAUUGGGCGUAAAGGGCUCGCAGGCGGUUUCUUAAGUCUGAUGUGAAAGCCCCCGGCUCAACCGGGGAGGGUCAUUGGAAACUGGGGAACUUGAGUGCAGAAGAGGAGAGUGGAAUUCCACGUGUAGCGGUGAAAUGCGUAGAGAUGUGGAGGAACACCAGUGGCGAAGGCGACUCUCUGGUCUGUAACUGACGCUGAGGAGCGAAAGCGUGGGGAGCGAACAGGAUUAGAUACCCUGGUAGUCC
rnacentral:rRNA from 1 species